GACGAACGCUGGCGGCGUGCCUAAUACAUGCAAGUCGAGCGAAUCUUGAGGUGCUUGCACCUCUUGGUUAGCGGCGGACGGGUGAGUAACACGUGGGCAACCUGCCUGUAAGACUGGGAUAACUUCGGGAAACCGGAGCUAAUACCGGAUAAUCCUUUUCCUCUCAUGAGGGAAAGCUGAAAGUCGGUUUACGCUGACACUUACAGAUGGGCCCGCGGCGCAUUAGCUAGUUGGUGAGGUAACGGCUCACCAAGGCGACGAUGCGUAGCCGACCUGAGAGGGUGAUCGGCCACACUGGGACUGAGACACGGCCCAGACUCAUACGGGAGGCAGCAGUAGGGAAUCUUCCGCAAUGGACGAAAGUCUGACGGAGCAACGCCGCGUGAGCGAUGAAGGCCUUCGGGUCGUAAAGCUCUGUUGUUAGGGAAGAACAAGUAUCGGAGUAACUGCCGGUACCUUGACGGUACCUAACCAGAAAGCCACGGCUAACUACGUGCCAGCCGCCGCCGUAACAC
rnacentral:rRNA from 1 species